rnacentral:tRNA from 1 species
GGCUACGUAGCUUAGUAGGUAAAGCACAUUAUUCAUAAUGAUGAAGUCACUGGUUCAAAUCCAGUCGUAGCUA